rnacentral:rRNA from 1 species
UACGUAGGUGGCGAGCGUUGUCCGGAUUUAUUGGGCGUAAAGCGCCCGCAGGCGGCUUGAUAAGUUUCAGGUGAAAUCUCCUGGCUUAACUGGGAGGGGUCCUGGAAAACUGUCAGGCUUGAGGCAGGGAGAGGGAUGUGGAAUUCCCGGUGUAGUAGUGAAAUGCGUAGAUAUCGGGAGGAACACCUGUGGCGAAGGCGGCCCCCUGGUUGGAUACUGACGCUGAGACGCGAAAGCGUGGGGAGCAAACAGG